rnacentral:lncRNA from 1 species
UUCAUGUAAGGAUUUAAUUUAUGUUUUUGACUAUUAGCAUGAUGAUGUAACUGAGCUAAGCUUUUAGUUGGGUUUAGGCCCACCAAGUUUGUGUGACUUGUUAGGUAUCAACUUUUUUCCAAGCUGAGCCAUUACCCGGGGCUUGGGGCAUCUGAGGGCAGGGAGGAACAGGUGGCCAAAGGAGAAAUGUUUGGUGCCUGAGAGUAUGUUUUCCAGUUGUAUUGAAUUUCUUACUUGGUGUAUUUUUGACCUGUCUUACUUUCUUUCCUUCUUAUGUGCUAUGCUAUUUUGCUGGCUAUUUGUUAGAUGUUCUCUGUCAUUUAGGAGUUGUGAAACGGAAGUUAGCUUUUCUACUUAAAUGAUUUGUGGAUGGAACUGAUAGGUUUAACAUUGAUUUCUGGUAGCUUCUUUCUAGAAGAGUUAAACUGACAAAUGUGUUUCUAUGGCUUUGGACUUGUUUUUGGCAUCUUGGGGAUGUGACCCUUCUUAGAAACAAGUGUUUUAGAACCCUCAACUACUAGCUGAACUAAAUGUCUACCAGGAAAAUGAGUGGAUUUAUUUCCUUUACCUUUGUUCUCUGUGAUUGUCUAGCUGUCAAGGAACUUAAAUAGGUAUUCAGAGAAAAAAAUUCUCCCUUGUUUCCCCUUCCUCACCUUACCAGUUAAAGCAGAAAUAACUAGUGAUGACACUUUAGGUGGUAGAAUUGAAACACAAACCCAGCUUCUGACCACAUGGGCCACAGGCAAUUGGCUUAAGCCCUUAGUGUGGUUAUGAAGUUGGGGUGGACUGGAAGGGGGUGGGGAGAUUACUUCUGCUUUCCUCCUGAGAAGCUUGGCUGGGUGUUGUUGUUUUGGUUUGGUUUGGAGGAGGGGGGCGGGGUGCUUCCUUUGGUAAAAUGUUCUUCCUUUCCUCCUUGAUUGCAUUGAGGCUGGUAAUGAAGGGUAAACACUUCUCUCUGGCCAAUGUUUUUUUGGUAUUUGCAAAUAUUCCAUUCUUGGCUUUUCCUAGAUUUGUUGUCAGUUCUAGCUUUUUUGCAUGAAGAAUAAGUCCAUUAACUUGACAGAUUUGAAGCCUCUUCUAACUUCUUUGGAGUAGAUAUUCCCUACUGAAAGUUUUGGAUUUGAUUUGUUGUUCAAUUUGCUGAGAAGUCUUACUUGGGGACAGGUAAUUGACAACAGCAGAGAUGUUUCCUAUUCCUAGGAUUCUAAAUCUAAUUAUAACCCCAGUGUACUCACAGGAUUUUAAAAUUCUCUCCGAAAUAGGAAGGAAAUAUCCUGUUACUUUCUAAUGUUUGCUAAAAGUUGUCUUUAGAAAAGCUGAUCUAAGUUUUCAAGUAAUCUCUACCCCCAACAUGGGGCUCAAACCCAUGGCCCCCACAUCAAGAGUCACAUGCUCCUCCAACUGAACCAGCCAGGCGCCCCCUAGAAAAGCUGAUCUUAAUAGGUAUCUUCCUUUGUCAUGUGUCAUUAGCCUUUUGUCAACUUACAUUAGAGCUCUUAAAAAGAGAGAGGGAUGAGGCAUGGUGAAAAACCUGUUACUUUGAAAGAAAGUGAGAGGAAUAAUUAACUGUUUUUGCGGAGUUCACAGCCCCAAAAUUAAUCUAGAACCAACUAAUAGCACCAAUAAAAAUAUUUACUUAGGACUUCUUAUAUUACAGGAAAUGUUCUAAGCAUUUUACAUACAUUUUUCAUUUAAUUCAUAAGUCAUCACUGUGAGAUAACGUAUUUAUUUUGUCCUCAUUUUCCAGAUGAGGAAAUAAAUCCCUGGAAGGUUAAAUGACAGGUUAUAUAAGCUGGGGCAGAGGAAGUGGGAAAGAAGAACCUGAAUAAGAUGAGGAGGAGGGGAUCUUGAGUUUUAUUUGGGUGGAUGUAGGCACACUUUUUUUUCUUUUUUUGCUUAGACACCAAACAUUUCAGUUAUCAUAUUCAAAGGUAACAGCACUGAUUCACCCACUGAAAGUUGUUCACAGUAAUCAGGAUGAAUUUACUGUCUUUAGACAUCCUUAGUCUUUUCACUUUCUCCAGUACUGUCUGUGGAAGCUGGUUUGAGGAGAGGCUCAUUUGUUUGUGGUUAAGGAUAUUGUCUGUCCUAAGGGUAGAAAUGCCCCUUCUAGGGAUGGAGUCUUUAGUCUUAUUGGUUAGCCUCCUUAUAUUCCUCAAAACAUUUGGACCUGAUUGUUUUUGAGUAAUUGUUCCAAAAUUUUGGAUAUUUUCCCUCUGGAAAAUAUCCUAAGGUUUAAAAUUUCAUCUGAAUUUAAAAAGUUGUUAAAUUUUCUUUUUAAGGGAGGGUUUGGGGAGCAAUCAGGAAUUUGGGUUUCCUCUCAUGGAUAGAGAUAAAAUUAGCCAUUUUCCUCAAGAAAAGUGAUACUUCUGAAUCCCAGCUCUUCGUUAAUGAGAACUGGACUGUUUUCACUUGACCUCUACUUCCUGUUGGUGGGAAACAGAGGUGCUGUGAGAAAGAUUGCUGGAGAAGGGUUUCUAGAUCUCAGAAUAAGUUCAAGAGUCUGGCAAUAUUGUCAUUAGAAUAAUGGUCUUCAUAAGCACUAGUUUUCAUGAUCCUAAAGCUUCAUUCUUAACACCCUUUGAAAGGCUGUAAAGUAGGAAAGGCUAAACUGGGGAGGAGGAAAACUUAGUAGAUAAAUUACAUAGACCUUGAGGUGAUUCUGUGCUCAAGAAGCAGAGACGUGGAGUCACUGAAUGAAAAUGAAAGAACAGGCAGUGUCUACGGUCAGAACUGAAAGGUUUUAGUUUACCUAGUUAAUUCCUUAGAUUUACAUCUUAGUUCCCUCCUUAUCUUGCAUGUGCAUAUAAACUUAGGCUUACUGAGCCAUUUUAUUUUUCUCCCCAAAUAAGACUAAUUUUAUAGGAGACAUAGGGGCCACUGCAGCAGCUUAGCUGAGGAACGUAUGAGAAACUGUUCAUUUUCUGUCCCCUCCUGUCUUAGGCUGAUCUGUCCCUUGAUGUGCUACCUGCUUCUGCUACCGACCCAUACUGCAGACUUCUCAUUCAUCCCCAAGGCCUCCAAGCAAUGUCCAAUAGGGAAUCGACUCUAAAAGGAACCAGACCAGACCAGACCAGACCAAAAAGGUGUGCAGCCCUUUCAUUGUGGUGAUUGAGGGAAGGAAAGAAUGGGAGGGGGUAUACAUGUGUAGUGGAUGGAAGGGAAACAGACUGUCAAAUUACUAUAUCUCUUCAGUUUCUUUUAGAAUAGAAUUCUGCAACCAUACUAUCACUACUGUGUAAAUAUAGGGGAAGUUCAAGAUGGUGACCUUGAUUAGAAUAUGUCUGGAGAGGAAUAAAUGGAGUGUGUGAGAUAAGAGACCAUUGGUUAUGAAAGAUGUUGAAGUCCUGAAAUAAUGUGACCAUCUGAGGAAUUUUUUUAAGCCAGAGUUUAUAAAAAUAUCACCAAUACAGCCUGCCCCCUCACUGCCCGCCACAGGAGACUUCUUGGACUGGAGACAUUUGUUUAAUAAUAGCUUGUCUCUGAUAUUCCCAGUAGCUACCUCUCUGAGGAGAGGAUAGCAAACAAACGUUCAGGACAUCAUCCUACAAAGUUCCAGUAGCAGUGACGCCUACACGGAAGACUUGGAACUGCAAACAGAGGCUGGGGUCACCUCAGUGACAUCUGACGCCGUCCAACCACAAGUUCGAUUUUUGUUCUGUGGGGCGAGAAAGACUGUACUAAAAGACAAAAAUAAUUUCUUAU